rnacentral:rRNA from 1 species
ACGAACGCUGGCGGCGUGCUUAACACAUGCAAGUCGCACGUGAUUUUUGUGGAAAUUCUUUCGGGAAUGGAAAUGAAAUGAAAGUGGCGAACGGGUGAGUAACACGUGAGCAACCUACCUUACACAGGGGGAUAGCCGUUGGAAACGACGAUUAAUACCGCAUGAGACCACAGAAUCGCAUGAUAUAGGGGUCAAAGAUUUAUCGGUGUAAGAAGGGCUCGCGUCUGAUUAGCUAGUUGGAAGGGUAAAGGCCUACCAAGGCGACGAUCAGUAGCCGGUCUGAGAGGAUGAACGGCCACAUUGGAACUGAGACACGGUCCAAACUCCUACGGGAGGCAGCAGUGGGGAAUAUUGCACAAUGGGGGGAACCCUGAUGCAGCGACGCCGCGUGAGCGAAGAAGGUUUUCGAAUCGUAAAGCUCUGUCCUAUGAGAAGAUAAUGACGGUAUCAUAGGAGGAAGCCCCGGCUAAAUACGUG